rnacentral:lncRNA from 1 species
UUUUUUNNUUUUUUUUUUUUUUUUUUCCUCCCUAAGCCAGUUUUUUCUGGCAGUUACCCCCGGGAGAUUGAAAAGUAGCCAAAACUGGGUCAUGUGAAUUGAGGCAGACAGAUGAAUUUCCAGCUGGUUGCCUGACUUGAAGUCAGAUUGGCCGAUGGCGGUGGAAGAGUGCAGUUUUGUACAGGGAGAAAGGAGUGAACUGGGAGAGGUUGAGAGAGACACCGCACACUCUCGUGUAAGGCACGUGGUGGCUCUUAGAGUGAGAGUAGGAGGGAAAUCGGCUGUCAGGUGCACAAAGGGAGGGCAGUCCAGGCAUGGGUUUGGUCAGGAGGCAGGGGGAAGGGCUCCGAGUUGUUUUUGGAGAGAGUGGCCAUGAGAGGGCGCCAGAGCAGCAGCAGAGCCCAGCAGCUGCUUGGGAUUGGCAUUUCCCAGCCCAGACAUGGGGUUUGAAUUGGUUGGGCCGAGGGGUGGAAGUGGGGGUGGUGAUGGUGAUAGAUUUCCCAGGAUGUGCCUUGUGAGGAGGGCUAGUUUAUGGGUCACCUCUGACUCUGCAAUCUAAAUGAUCUCACCUGACAGAAAGGACACUUUUCUGCCUUCACACCUGGGGGUCACUUUCAGGCAGCUUGUGUAGCCCAAAGUCCAGACAAUGGGGCAGGCUGUCAUGAGCUCAGACAGCCUCUGGAUUCUGCAGAGGCAGACAAGUGAACAGAAGUGGAGUCGGCUUGAAUAUUGGGCAGGCAGUGUUCUAGGAUCAGACUUGCAUGGUAUUUGGGGUUUGGAAAGCCUGGCUGUUGUUGGUGGUGGUUCAUGGAGGUUGUAAAAGCAGAAGUUCCUUGCCAGGUAGGCUGUGUGCAACACACAGACUUGUCUCUCUGAGAAUUUUGUUCUUUUCCUUCCAUUUGAGCCUCUCCCUCCUCUUGUUCACCCCUGAGAGGGAAAAUCUGACCUCAAGCCAGGUCACAGAAAUUAGGAAGGAAGGCUGAUUAACUGAAAAAUGGUGACCUGUUUCCAGAGUGGACUCAGCUCACUGACUAAUGAGAAUGGUGAAAGACUGGGAGGAAUGAAUGGCUGGCAUUGAGGGAAAAACACACCCUCUUAAAAGCUCUUGGUUGUUCUUAAGAGUGAGGAAUGGAACUAAGUCAGCUGUCUGGUGCACUGGCCCAGGGCAGUCCUUGGGUUUGGGCAGGAAAUAGGAGGCUGGAGGCAGGGCUCUGAGUUGCCAUUAGAGAGAAUGUCUGCCAGAGGGCACCGAAGCACCACACAAGCUCACAGCUGCUUGGUAUGGGCACUUCCAGGCUCAGCGAUGUGGUUGGAGAUGGGGAUGGAGGAUUCCCCAGAGGGUGUCUGGUAAGAAGGGGUUCCUACAGCCUGCAACUGCCUCUCCAGCCCAAACAGGCUCCCCAGGUGAAAGGGAAAUUGUUCCACCUUCCCAAAUCUGGGUCACUUUGGGGUGGCAUAGCUAGCCCAAAGCCCACAUUAAAGGACAGGUCUUCAGAUCAGACUGCCAUGGGCUUGUGGAGAAGUAGAAAUCUGAAACUCAAGCAGUUUCCUUUAGAACUUGGCAUGUAGUUUGCGAGAGUCAGGCUUGCUUGGUGUUUGGCCUCUGGAGAGCUGGGCUGGUGGUCUUUAGUGGAGAAGGUAAAAGCAGAGGUCCUUUGGAGGGCAGGCUGGGUCCAUUCAAAGGACCUGUCUCUUGAGAGGGUCUCUUAAAACUUCUGCAUUAUCCUUCAUCGGAGCCUCUCCCUCUUCAUAUGCGUGCUUGAGGGAUAAUCUUACUUUAAAUGCAGGUCAUAUAAAAAUAAGGUCUGGGCAAAGUGAGAUGAGCAGCAUGUGGGGGAAUCUACAGCCUGUUUCCUGACUUGAAGUGUGUUCAGCCAGUGGGCUCACAGGAGUGCUGACAGAUAGCAAGCGUGCUGGGAUGUGGGAGAUAUUGAGAGAGAAAUAGCACCUCUGUAAGGCCCUCGAUUUUUGUGAGAGAGGGAGAAAAAGUGAGAGAGACAGGAGAGGACCAGAUCAGGCUCACAGGUGCUCAAGGGCAGUGCAAACAGAACCGGGAGGGGUCAGGGGGUAGAAGAAUGGGAUCUGAAGGGCUGGUAUGGGCAAUGGCCGUUAGAGGACGAGGAGCCCAGUUGUGCCCAUCUGCUGCGUGGUGUUGGCACUUCCGCACUCAGAGAUGGGGUUGCCAGUAGUACUGGUGGAACCCCAAGGUUGUGCCCAGCAAGGGAAGGUGAGUUAUGGCCUCUUCUGACUCUCAGGUUAACAAUCCAUCUCCUGAGGUGGGUACAGAGGUCUUCACUCAUGGCUAGGGGUCAUUUCCAUACUGGUCAUGGAGCCCUAAGACCAGACGAUGUGACUGAUUAUCGAUGGUCUGAAUGCCUUUGGAUUUUCCAGUGGUGUAGCACUCAAUCCAGUAGUAUUUUUUUGAACGUGGGGCAUGCAAUUCCUGAGACUCCUGUUUUGUCUGCUGUGUCAUCUGUAAAGCAGUGCUUGUGGACCUGACUGGAGGGUGUAGAAGGGGGAUUUGUGUCUGGCCGGGCUGUUCUCAUCACUGGGAUCUAUCUCUGAAAUGUCUCCACAGCCUGACUUUUUAUUUGUCUCACUGAGCCACUGCUUUCUGGCAGUUACCCCCAGAAAAUUUAACAGUAGUCGAAACUAGAUCUCAUUUUUAAGGCAGGUAGAUGAAUUUCCAGCUGAUUGCCUGACUUGAUGUUUGAUUAGCUGAUGGAUGUGGACCAGUGGAAUCGGACAGGGAGGAAGGAGUGAGCUGGGAGAUGUUGAGAGAGAUACCUCACCUUGUGUAGGACACCUGGUCCUUCUUAGAGACUAGGAAGGAAACUGGCUGUAAGGUGCACAAAUCAAGGGCAGUGCAGGUAUGACUUUGUUCAGGAGGCAGGAGGAAGGGCUCUGAGUUGUUAUUAUAGAAAGUGGCUGCCAGAGGGUUCGAGAGCAGGGAGAGAGCUCAGCAGCUGCUUGGAAUUGGCAUUUCUCAGCCCAGAGAUGGGAUUUGAGUUAGUAGGGCGGGUGGUGGGUGUUGGUGUGGUGAUGAUGGUUGUGGUUGCGGUGGUGGACUUCCUGGGAUGUGCCUUCAGAGGAGGGCUAGUUUGUGGGUCACUUCUGACUCUGCAAUCUAAACGAUCUCACCUGACAGAAAGGACACUUUUGUGCCUUCACAUCUCUGGGUCGCUUUAAGACAGCUUGGGUAGCCCAAAGUCCAGACAGUUGGGCAGGCUGUCAUGAGCUCAGACAGCCUCUGGAUUCUGCAGAGGCAGACCUGUGAACCCAAGUGGAGUUGGCUUGAAUAUUGGGCAGCAAUGUUCUAGCAUCAGACUUGCGUGGUGUUUGGGGUUUGGAAAGCUGAGCUGUUGGUGGUGGUUUCAUGGAGGGUGUAAAAGCAGAGGUUCCCUGCUGGGCAGGAUGCAUCCAACACACAGACUUAUCUCUCUGUAAAGCUUCCUCUUUCCCUUUCCUUUGAGCCUCUCCCCCCUCUUGUUAAGCCCUGAGAGGAAAAAUCUGACCUCAAACCAAGUCACAUAAAUCAAGAGGGGAGGCUGAUUAAUUUAAAAAUGGUUACCUGAUUCAGAAUAGGCUCAGCUCACUGACUAAUGAGAAUGGUGAAGGAUUGGGAGGAGUGAGUGCCAUGGCUGGCACGGAGGGAAAAACAGCUCUCUUAAAUGUGCAUGGUUAUUCUUAGAGUGAGAGGAGGAACUAAGUCCGCUGUCUGGUGCACAGGUCCAGGGUAGUCCAUGGUUUUGGUCAGGAGGCAGGAGGCAGGGCUCUGAGUUGCCAUUAGAGAGAAUGUCCACCAGACGGCGCCAAAGCACCACUCAAGCUCAGCAGCUGCUUGGUAUGGGCACUUCCAGGCUCAGAGAUGUGGUUGGAGAUGCUUGGUCAGAAGGCAUUGCCUACACCCUGCAACUGCCUCUCCAGGCCAGAUUGGCUUCUGCACUGAAAGGGAAAGCGUCCCACCUUCCCACACCUGGGUCCCUUAGUGCAUCUCCUCUAACCCAAAGCCCACAUUAAAGGACAGCUUCCUGUUUCAGAGGGAAGCUGCCUUGAGUCCUGGGCAUGUGGUUUUCAAGAGUAAGGCUUGCUGGUGCUUGGCCUCUAGAGAGCUGGUGGUGGCCAGUGGUGAGUGUAAAACCAGAAGGCCUUUGGAGGGCAGGCUAGGUCCAUCCCAGUGAUCAGUCUCUUGAGGGGUCUCUGAAAAGUUCUGCAUUUUCCUUUCAUCUGAGCCUCUUGCUCCUUUUGUGCACCCCUGAGGGAAAAUAUUACCUUAAAGCCAGGUCACAUAAAAUAAGGCCUGGCAAAUUGGGAUGUGGGGGUGGGGUGGGGUGUGGGAAUCUAAAGCCUGUUCCCUGACCUGGAGUGUGUUUAGCUGAUGGGCUCAAGGGAGUGCUGACAGAUAGGGAGCGUGCUGGGAUAUGGGAGAUAUUGAGAGAGAAACAGCACCCUCCGUAGGGCCCUGGAUUUUUCUGAGAGAGAGGGGUGGGGGAGAGGACCAAAUCACACUCACAAGUACUCAAGGGCAGUGGAAGCAGAACUGGGAGGGAUCAGGAGGCAGAGGAAUGGGAUCUGAAGGGCUGGUGUAGGUAAUGGCCACUAGAGGACAAGGAGCCCUGACAUGCCCAUCUGCUGCCUGGUGUUGGCACUUCCACACUCAGAGACGGGUUUUCCAGUGGCACUGCCAGAACCCCAAGGUUGAGCCCAGUGAGGAGGGGGUGAGUUAAGGACUCCUUUAGACUCUUGGGUGACAAUGCAGCUCCUGAUAGUGGGUACAGAGCUCUUCCUUCAUGGCUUUGGGUCAUUUCCAUACUGUUCACGGAGCCCUAAGAGCAGAUGAUAUGACCGGCCGUCUGUGGUCUGAACGCUUUUGGAGUCUCCAAUGGAAUAGCCUUGAAACCAAAAGUAUUUGGUUUGAACCUUGGGCAUGCAGUUCAUGAGAGUCAGAAUAUUGUCUGGGGUGGCAUCUGGAAUGCAAUGCUUGUGGACCUGAUUGGAGGGUGUAGAAGGGGUUUGUGGCUGCCCAGGCUGUUCUCAUCCCUGGGAUCUACCUCUGGAAUUUCUCCACAGAGUUCCCUUUUCUUUUUCUCCCUGAGCCACUGCUUUCUGACAGUUACCCCCCAGAAAAGUGAACAUUAGCUAAAACUAGGUCACAUGUAUUAGGGCAGGCAGAUGAAUUUCCAGCUGGUUGCCUGACUUGUCAGAUUGGCUGAGGGAGGUUGUUGAGCGCUGUUGGAUAGGGAGGAAGGAGUGAGCUGGGAGACCUUGAGACACCUCACCCUCCUGUAUAAGGUAUGUGGUGGUUCUCAGAGUGAGAGUAGGAGGGAUUGGCUGUCAGGCCCACAAACCGGGGGCAGUCUAGCCAUGGGUUUGGUCAGGAGGCUGGAGCAAGGGCUCUGAGUUGUCACCAGAGGGCAUCAGAGCAGUGGCAGAGCCCAGCAGCUGCUGGGAUUGGAAUUUCCCAGCCCAGACAUAGGGUUGGUGUUGCUUGGUCGAGGGGUGUUGGUGAUGAUGGUGGUGGUUGAGAUGGUGCUUGCAGAUUUCCUGGGACCUGUCUUCAGAGGAGGGCUAUAUUAUGGGCCAUUUCUGACUGACCAAUGUAAAUGACCUCACCUGACAGAAAGGACACAUUUCUGCCUUCACACCUGGGGGUCGCUUUCAGACAGCUUGGGUAGCCCAAAGUCCAGACAGUUGGGCAGGCUGUCAUGAGCUCAGACAGCCUCUGGAUUCUGCAGAGGCAGACCUGUGAACCCAAGUGGAGUCGGCUUGAAUAUUGGGCAGGCAGUGUUCUAGCAUCAGACUUGCGUGGUGUUUGGGGUUUGGAAAGCUGAGCUGUUGGUGGUGGUUCAUGGAGGGUGUAAAAGCAGAGGUUCCCUGCUGGGCAGGCUGCGUCCAACACAGUCUUGUCUCUCUGAAAAACUUCUUUUCUUUCCAUCAGAACUUCUCCCUCCUCUCAUUCACCCCUGAGAAGAAAAAUCUGACCUCAAGCCAGGUCACAGGAAUUAAGAAGGGAGACUGAUUACUUUAAAAAAUGAUUACCCAAUUCAGAGUGGACUCAGCUCACUGACUAUGAGCAUGGUGAAGGACUGGGAGGAGUGAGUGCCAUGGCUAGUACUGAGGGGGGAAAAUGCCUUCUUAAAGGUGCUUGGUUGUUCUUAGAGUGAGAGGCCGCUCUCCGGUGCACAGCACCAGGGCAUGGUUUGGGCUGGAGGCAGGAGGCUGGGCUCUGAGUUG